rnacentral:rRNA from 1 species
UACGAAGGGGCUAGCGUUGUUCGGAUUUACUGGGCGUAAAGCGCACGUAGGCGGAUCGUUAAGUCGGGGGUGAAAUCCUGGAGCUCAACUCCAGAACUGCCUUCGAUACUGGCGAUCUCGAGUCCGGAAGAGGUGAGUGGAACUCCUAGUGUAGAGGUGGAAUUCGUAGAUAUUAGGAAGAACACCAGUGGCGAAGGCGGCUCACUGGUCCGGUACUGACGCUGAGGUGCGAAAGCGUGGGGAGCAAACAGG